rnacentral:rRNA from 1 species
AAUCAACGCUGGCGGCGUGCCUAACACAUGCAAGUCGAACGGGAAAACGGGGGCAACCCUGUGAGUACAGUGGCGUACGGGUGAGUAACACGUGACUAACCUACCUUCGAGUGGGGGAUA